rnacentral:rRNA from 1 species
UGAACGCUGGCGGCGUGCUUAACACAUGCAAGUCGCACGAGAACGCUUCAGCUUGCUGAAGUUAGUAAAGUGGCGCACGGGUGAGUAACGCGUGGGUAAUCUACCCUUGAAUUGGGGAUAACCCGCCGAAAGGCGGACUAAUACCGAAUGAUAUCUUGAAUAUUUAGAUAUUCUUGAUUAAAGAUGGCCUCUACAUGUAAGCUAUUGUUUGGGGAUGAGCCCGCGUACCAUUAGCUUUUUGGUAGGGUAAUGGCCUACCAAGGCUACGAUGGUUAGCUGGUCUGAGAGGAUGAUCAGCCACACUGGAACUGACACACGGUCCAGACUCCGACGGGAGGCAGCAGUGAGGAAUUUUGCGCAAUGGGGGAAACCCUGACGCAGCAACGCCGCGUGAGUGAUGAAGGCUUUCGGGUCGUAAAGCUCUGUCAAGUGGGAAGAAUUCAUAUGGUGAUAAUACCACUUUAUGUUGACGGUACCACUGAAGGAAGCACCGGCUAACUCC